UCAACAGAAGGAAUGUGCCAUUGCAACUGAAAAUGUCACAUUUUAAAGACUGGCCUGAAGAAGUGAGAGUUUUAAAGAAGAGACAUGUUUUUAGAUUAAGACAACCUGCAUUUCCUACGAAACACUGAAAAUAUUCUUUCUUAUCUACACACAGUUCUUCCAUAUGUAAACCUGAACCACAUGCUAAAACACACACUUGUAAUGAAGAAAACUUGCUGUGAUCAAUCAGAGGGAAAACAAAACCAUAAAAUAUGCAACAAAAAUCAGCAAGACACAAAGAUGAUAGAUCAUAAUUUAGCAUUUGUUGUGUUUCCUGGGAGCUUACACAGUACUCAAGGACCUCCAAGCCACAACUGAAGAGUCCUAUGUGUCUUGUAUGAAAAGCAACUUAUACCUAUGGCUACCAGCAUCCUGCAUGGCAUGGCAAGAAGCUGGGAGAGAAAACAGCCUGGAACAGCUGACCCAAAUUAGCCAUACCAUGUAACAUAAUGUUCAGCAACAAGAACUGAGAUAGAGGAAAGGAUUGCCUCCAAAUGCAGCUGAUGAUUGGUCAACAACUGGAAAACAGUCUGCUUGUAACAGGUUUUCUGAAAAGCAGCUGACCACCAUAAACACAGAAGAGCAGUGAUAUGCGCAGGAUCCUCAGUAACCUAAGAAAGGAAAAUGGAGCACACCACUGGCCAAUACAAAGGCCACUGAAGGAAAACAAUGAGAUGGUUGUCCCUGUUGAAAAUACCCACU